GCAGAAUUCUCACAUCUGUGGGGAAUUUAAUCGGAAAUUGAGUUCAAUCAUUGUAUCUAAAUUCAAAGGGCUGUCAACUCUAACUAAAAUGACCACAAUAAAAAAUCCAGAAAACCCCUGUCAAGAAAAACUUUAAACCCACCCGGAGCCAACCCAUAUCCACAGAAAACGCAUUUUCCAAAAAUCCAACUCACCUUUCCCUCCAUUUGCAACUUAAUCACGUCGCGUGGAAUAGAUGAUCUGCUCCCGAGAGUAUCACCGAUCAUAACCAACCGCGACGCGACCCUUUUUGCAGCCUAAUCACGUUGCGCCACGUGUUCAACUUGGCAAUGGUGAUCUGCUCCCGAGAGUAUCACCGAUCAUAACUAACCGCGACGCGACCCUUCUAAAAAGGAGAACGCUCUCAUUCCAGACUCCGUCGCCGUCUUCAACCUCUCUCUCUGCGGGGUUGUUCUAGGUUUGUCGCGUCUAAAAAGGAGAACGCUCUCAUUCCUCUCCCGGACUCCAUCGCCGUCUUCAACCUCUCUCUCUCUGGUAGAUGUUCAACACGUUUUCUUUUCUUUGCUUUUUUUUUUUUUUUUUUAUCAUUUGUUGUUUGCUUAUUUCCUGUUUUUUCUCGGCAACCAAACGGGGUUGUUCUAGGUUUGUUUGAUUAGAUCUGGAAAUAUAAUGGUCUGAAUUUGGAAUGAGAUGUUCA